UGGGGAAUCUUGGACAAUGGGCGAAAGCCUGAUCCAGCAAUGCCGCGUGCAGGAAGAAGGCCUUCGGGUUGUAAACUGCUUUUGUACGGAACGAAAAGGCUCUUUCUAAUAAAGAGGGCCCAUGACGGUACCGUAAGAAUAAGCACCGGCUAACUACGUGCCAGCAGCCGCGGUAAUACGUAGGGUGCGAGCGUUAAUCGGAAUUACUGGGCGUAAAGCGUGCGCAGGCGGUUCUAUAAGACAGAUGUGAAAUCCCCGGGCUCAACCUGGGAAUGGCAUUUGUGACUGUAGAGCUAGAGUACGGUAGAGGGGGAUGGAAUUCCGCGUGUAGCAGUGAAAUGCGUAGAUAUGCGGAGGAACACCGAUGGCGAAGGCAAUCCCCUGGACCUGUACUGACGCUCAUGCACGAAAGCGUGGGGAGCAAACAGGAUUAGAUACCCAAGUAGUCCCUGAGCGGGCUGGCAAGGCGCAU
rnacentral:rRNA from 1 species